rnacentral:rRNA from 1 species
AGCAGCCGCGGUAAUUCCAGCUCCAAUAGCGUAUAUUAAAGUUGUUGCAGUUAAAAAGCUCGUAGUUGGAUUUCAGGCCUGGCUGGACGGUCCGCCCUUCGGGUGAGUACUGUCUGUGGUCGGGUCCUACCUUCUGGCGAAGCGUCAUGGCCUUAACCGGCCGUGGCGGGGAACCAGGACUUUUACUGUGAAAAAAUUAGAGUGUUCAAAGCAGGCAAUCGCUUGGAUACAUUAGCAUGGAAUAAUGGAAUAGGACAAUGGUUCUAUUUGUUGGUUUCUAGGACCGUUGUAAUGAUUAAUAGGGAUAGUUGGGGGCAUUAGUAUUCAAUUGUCAGAGGUGAAAUUCUUGGAUUUAUUGAAGACUAACUACUGCGAAAGCAUUUGCCAAGGAUGUUUUCAUUAAUCAAGAACGAAAGUUAGGGGAUCGAAGACGAUCAGAUACCGUCGUAGUCUUAACCAUAAACUAUGCCGACUAGGAAUCGGGCGAUGUUGACAAAAUGACGC